GCUCGUGCGUCACGACGCCGCCAGCUGAUCGGAGCCUGGAGCCGGUGUGUGCUGGGUGCCGAGAAGAGACAGCGCCGCCGGCCGUGGGGAGCGGACGCAGUGAUUUGCUCCCCCUCGUGCAGCAACCCCCACACCCAGCACCAGGAGCCUGUUCCUCUCACGCCCUCACCUGGCUGAGCCGCAGUAGUUCUUCAGUGGCAAGCUUUAUGUCCUGACCCAGCUAAAGCUGCCAGUUGAAGAACUGUUGCCCUCUGCCCCUGGCUUCGAGGAGGAGGAGGAGCUGCUUUCCCCAUCAUCUGGAAGGUGACAGAAAUGGGCUGGGAAGGUCCGAACAGCAGGGUGGAUGAUACGUUUUGGGCAAGUUGGAGAGCCUUUGCCCAGAUUGGCCCAGCAAGGAGCGGUUUUAGAUUAGAGACACUGGCUGGAUUGAGGAGUAGAAGGCUCAAACAACCCAAGGUGGUAUGUGAUCCCCAGCUCAGGCCUGUGCAGACAGGAAAUUCUCCCCUGCAGCAAGUAGGGGAGGUGGGUUGUGGGAUGUGACCUCCUUCCAGAUAUCAGGCAGUGAGUGUAAACCUGCCACCUCCAGCCCUGAUCCAUUCUCACCUAGCGGCUACAGGAAGCUGUGUCUGUUCGAUUUGGUGGGAGGAGAUGUGCAGGGAGCUGUAUCUUGUCCUCCGCUUGUGAAAAACUCAAGGAUGUGGAGAAGAGUAGACCGUGGAACCCUGCUCUUCUGCAGCCAAGCUGAGGGGCAGGAUGCGUGUGGGACAGUGGUAGAGAAGCAGGGGAUAGACUCAUAGGCUGCAACAAAGGUGACUCUGUCCCUGGACACUGCCUCCGUACUUUCUCCUUGCUUCACUGGCCACAGCAUCUCCCUCCAGCCCUCGCUAUGUGCCUCUGCCAUCUUCACCCAUCAUGGAGCAGAGGUGAGGAGAGGCAGCCUGGGAAUAUGGAGACCAGUGAAGGACCAGGCCUGGAGAGCACAGGGUCCUACCUGGGCAUCCAGCAGAGGAGCCCCUAAAGGCCAGGAGCACCCCAAGAGGAGGGAGGGCAGCCAGCCUCCAUUGACGGCGAGCCUCCAGCCCUCUCCUACUUUGAUCACCAUUUCUCUCCAGGCUUUCUGCCUCCGAGAUGUGGCACCAUAGUGCGGUGCCCUGUGGCUUCACCGCCCUACUUCCACCUCCGCCCAGCCUGUAAUGUUUAUAUAAGCAGCCUCAAGGACCAAGAACCAUCUGCGAAAGGACACACACAGGAAAUUCAUAAAAGAAAUCUGAAUGGAUAAAACCAUGAAAAAAAGUAUGCUUCAUUAGUAAUUAAAGAAAGGCAAAUAGAGCUGGAAGCAUUUUUCCCUUAGCAAACCAUAACAGAAAAAAAUAAGACCCAAUAUUGGCAAAGAGACUACUGAAAAAACAUUCCCAUACAUUGCGUGUGGGAGUAUACAUCGGUGCAGGCUUCCUGGAUGACAGUUGGGUGAUAUGUGUCAUGUGGCCUAAAAGCCUCCAUGUCAUUUGACCUACGAAUUCUAUCUUUGGGAAUUUAUCCUAAGAAAAUACUUAAGGAUUUAGUUAGUGAUAAGAUGUUCAUCCCAGCAUUGCAAUGGAGAAAAAUGGGAAGCAAUGGUUUGGUUGGGAAUUUAUUCCUUUUCUGCUGUAACGAAAGUUUGCAAUAGGGGAUUGCUUAAGUAAAUUAUUGUAUCUCCAUCCAGAUGGUGGAGUACCGCGCAGACAUUAAAAGUCAUGUAAAAGAACAUCUGACUGAAAGAAAAAUGCUCCUUGAAUAUUAAAAGGUUGUAAAAAUAGUGCAUGUUAUGUGAUUUCAAUUUUGUUUUUUAAAAUAUGGGUGUAUGCUUGUAUACGUAGAGCAGAUAAAAAAGACGGAAGGCAUACUAAAAAAUGUUGAGUGGUUAUCUUUGUAUGGUGGAACAAAGUCACUGUAAUUUUCAUCUUUGGUUUUUCUGUAAUUUCCAAAUUUUCCACAUUUUGUAUUUCAUAUAAUAUAAUUUAAGAGAUCA
rnacentral:lncRNA from 1 species